rnacentral:tRNA from 1 species
GGAGCUGUAGCAUAACUGGAUAAUGCACUUCACUACGAAUGAAGAGACUCAAAGUUCGAAUCUUUGCAGCUUCAC